UCUGGCGGCUAUAGCGAAGAGGCCACACCCGUUCCCAUCCCGAACACGGAAGUUAAGCUCUUCAGCGCCGAUGGUAGUUGGGGGCUUCCCCCUGUGAGAGUAGGACGUUGCCAGGC
rfam:Bacillaceae bacterium MTCC 8252 Contig87, whole genome shotgun sequence.